GUAGGUGGCAAGCGUUGUCCGGAAUUAUUGGGCGUAAAGCGCGCGCAGGCGGUUUCUUAAGUCUGAUGUGAAAGCCCACGGGCUCAACCGUGGAGGGUCAUUGGAAACUGGGGAACUUGAGUACAGAAGAGGAAAGUGGAAUUCCACGUGUAGCGGUGAAAUGCGUAGAGAUGUGGAGGAACACCAGUGGCGAAGGCGACUUUCUGGUCUGUAACUGACGCUGAGGCGCGAAAGCGUGGGGAGCAAACAGGAUUAGAUACCCUGGUAGUCCACGCCGUAAACGAUGAGUGCUAAGUGUUAGAGGGUUUCCGCCCUUUAGUGCUGCAGCUAACGCAUUAAGCACUCCGCCUGGGGAGUACGGUCGCAAGACUG
rnacentral:rRNA from 1 species